AUUCAGAGCUUGCGUUCUGUGGGUUGUAUGAUAAAGCUGUAAAACAUGUAAGAAUGGUUUUGCAAGUCUGAAUCGUUGAAGGCAGCAAUAAGUGGAUUUAGAGCCUGUUCUUGAGCAGACAAAGGGAAAAAGUGUGACUCUGAUGCUGAACUUGUCAUUUUUCAUUUGACUUGUCUUGAAUGAUUUAGGAAUAGAGAGAACUAGAAAAAGAGAGAAAUAGAAUCGAUUAUUGAGCAGUCCUCAAAUGCUCACCAUAAUUCAGUGUAGAGCCAAAGGGAAGGGUGAUGGAACAGAGCUCUGUGCUUUGGAAGGAAAUAAAUUUAAACCUGAUCUCCGCACAGAGUCUCACUAACUUCUGUGGUUUUAAAAUACAAAAUACGUUUAGGAAGUGUUGGAAGUUAGUAUUUUGGGAAAGAAACGGCAGUUCCACAGAACAUUCCAUUUCACAGAGGCUCUAGGAAGGAUUCAUGUUGUAACUGCUGUCACUGCAAUCAGUUGGUGGUUCAGCCUUGAAACGUGCACUUGGCCUUCUAUAAAGCGCUGUUUUGUUUGCCUUUCAUUGCUAUGAGUCUUGAUAAAUUGGAGAAGAGCCCAAGAGAAAUUUUUCAUCCCUUGAUAUAAAAGGGAUCGGUGAAUUUUAACUUUGGAGUCCUCUAUGCUAAGGAUGCUCAGCUUACAGAUGAUGAAAUGUUCAGUAAUGGUGAGUUUUUCACGUUCUCUUUAAUUGCUGUGCUGAUCUGAAUAAGAAAAAAACAAAAGCAAGAGGGAAAAAAAAGGAUGGUUUAUUAUUUUUUACGCUGUUAUGUUUGUUUCCUCAGUAUUUGCUGCAGCUCUGCUUACCCAAGCUUUGUGUUCCUUCUGUCCCACUGGGAGUUGCCCAGUUUGGUUGCAUCUGGUGAAAUUCACCCUGAGACCUUACACAACUAGCUCAAACUACGUGAGAGCCAUUUGCAGUUCUCUCCAGACACCUGGAGAAUGGGUGACGUUUCUGAGGGUCUGGCAAGUGUACUUCUAUCAAAACUCAGUCUGUGAAGUUUCUGGGGAAAACCCUUCUGUGUCCUGAAGGGUUCAAACUCCUGUGAGGAUCCAUUUAUCAGGUGCUCACCUGGAUGGUUCCAGCUCUUAAAGUGAACACUUGUACUCUUACCCUGUAGUUUACAUCUAUUGUAUUUUUGUUAUUUUGCAAGAUUUUUUGUCUUUGCAAAAUAUUGUGCAUUUCACUCUUUGGAACCUCUCAGAUGGUUCUUUGGUGCAGCACCACCCCAUGGGACACUUGGCUGCUGUCCUGAAGGGGAUGGUCGCUAGAAUUGUAAAUUCUGGAGAGUUUAUAAGUCUUCUGUCCCCAGGGAGGUACCAUGCUUUGUUUACUUUUGUUCUGUUUGUUAGGCGCUGCUUCUCGUUGCAAGUAUGAAUUUCAAACUGCCCUGUUCUUAUUUUAACUGUUUUCCUGGUUCUCUCCGUCCGACAGGGAAAGACUCUCAUAUCCUCGUCGUCGGGCUCGGUGCUGUCCAAGAAGAUACAGAGACUAAAAAAAUCAUAAGCAGCAAAAUAUGACUGCAGGGAAAAGAAGCUGGAGAGAACAGAAGGCUGCCAUUUGUGUGCCAUCGGUACUCACCAUGGAAGCGAGCUGGGGAUUGUUGCACCCGUUGGGAACAAACCGCUUCUUGUCACACAGAAAUGGAAUUGGGACGACGCCUCGGCCAGCCCCUCUCUGCCAUCGUCUCCUGAAUCUGCAGCAGAGCAGUUCCAGUCCAUCCGGGCACGUGCAAUCCAGUUCCUGAUGAUCUGAGCACACGGAGCAGCGCUCAGCUGCUGUGGGGGGCUCAGGGAAGGCAGUGUGUGCAUUGUCAUCUUCCUGAACCUACAGACAAAUCAAAACCCUCAGUGAGCAGAAUUUGUUGCAGACUCAGUGCACGCUGUGCCGGCCUCCCGGGAGUGUGAGGAGCUCAUGUGUGCUACUUUUUGCUUUAGGACGCUCUGAGGUAUUUAUUCCUUUUGGGAUACGUGAUGAGAAUUCCCAAGAGAGGUAGUUAUAAGGUAUGACAUUGGGAAAAAGCCUGUGUGGUUGGAAUGUUGUUGCUGUCAAAAGUUAAUUUUUCCUUCAUUCUUAGCCAGUAGUUAGCUUUUUGCUUUAUUUUUGUGGUAUCAGUAUUUUAUUGUUUAAAAAAUUCCUUCAAAAUAACUUCAGUGGUCGCCCACCAGUACCUUGUUCAGAUUUGCCUAUUUGCUUGUAGCUGAAAUGUUCACAUCUUGAUUAUCAUUCUAUUUAAGAAACUGCUGCCCAGCCAACUAAUAACUGAAUAUCCAUCUGUCUAGGACACGGGGAGAGGAUUUAGGUAAUGUCUUUGUUUCCAGAAAAAAGUUCCAGUGUACUUUCUAAACAGAGGAGAAGGGGGUGAAGACUCUGGGCUCUGAUGCCGUUGGGGCACCCCAAGGUCCCCAGGAGAGGGAGCCCCACUGCGGUGCAGGAGCAGGUGUGUUCUCAUCUAAUAUUGAACAAAUUAUAAAUAUGAAAAUUAUAAACAUGAAAAUAUUUUUAAAAUACUUAAAUAAAGCAGGUUUUCUUUAUUGGUCAAUAGGCAGGGUUUUGAUUGUAAAAAUUAUAAAUACAAAUAAUAUAAAGGUAGAAAUCUAAGUUUAGAAAUAUAUAAUAAAUACAUACAGAUAAAUAUAAAAAUUAAAAAUAUAAGAAAAAAUUAGU